GGAAGAGAUCAGAAAUCUCCAGGAAUCAUGAUGUUAGCGGUUCCCUCUUUCUGAGUGUGGGAGGUCCUGCAGCCAAAGCUCAGGUGCAGGGCAGAAACCCUCCGAAGUGAGUCUUAUGAUCUUCAGCCAGAGGCGAUUCUUCUGUGAUCUGCUUCAGGAGAGCAUGCAAGGAAGCCCUGGGGAUCUUCAGAUGCCCUGUAGCUGGGGUUACAGGAGACUGAACUGCCCAGCAGCUGGGGUUACAGGAGUCUGUGAACUGCCCAGCAGAGGAGCUGGGACCUGAGCUCAGGUUGCCCGGAAGAGCUGCAAGUGCGCAUCACCACUGAGCAGAGGGGAUGAGAGAACUGGCUGGGAAGACCACAUUUCAGAUGUUCUGAAAGGCAUGAGUGCUUCAAGAAGGAAUGAACAUCACUGAAUUAAAAGAUAGAAUCCAGGGGCUGGAGAGAUGGCUCAGCGGUUAAGAGCACUGACUGCUCUUCC